rnacentral:rRNA from 1 species
GACGAACGCCUUUUGGCGUGCUUAACACAUGCAAGUCGAACGGAAAGGCUCCUGCUUGCAGGGGUACUCGAGUGGCGAACGGGUGAGUAACACGUGGGUGAUCUGCCUUGUACUCUGUGAUAAGCUUGGGAAACUGGGUCUAAUACCGGAUAGUAGCUGCCUUUAGUGUGGUGGUUGGAAAGUUUUUUCGGUGCAAGAUGAGCUCGCGGCCUAUCAGCUUGUUGGUGGGGUAAUGGCCUACCAAGGCGUCGACGGGUAGCCGGCCUGAGAGGGUGUACGGCCACAUUGGGACUGAGAUACGGCCCAGACUCCUACGGGAGGCAGCAGUGGGGAAUAUUGCACAAUGGGCGGAAGCCUGAUGCAGCGACGCCGCGUGGGGGAUGACGGCCUUCGGGUUGUAAACUCCUUUCGACAGGGACGAAGCUUUUUGUGACGGUACCUGUAUAAGAAGCACCGGCUAACUACGUGCCAGCAGCCGCGGUAAUACGUAGGGUGCGAGCGUUGUCCGGAAUUACUGGGCGUAAAGAGCUCGUAGGUGGUUUGUCGCGUCAUCUGUGAAAUUCCGGGGCUUAACUCCGGGCGUGCAGGCGAUACGGGCAUAACUUGAGUGCUGUAGGGGAGACUGGAAUUCCUGGGGUAGCGGUGAAAUGCCCAGAUAUCAGGGAGGAACACCGAUGGCGAGGCAAGGUCUCUGGGCAGUAACUGACGUGAAGGAGCGAAAGCAUGGGUAGCGAACAGGAUUAGAUACCCUGGUAGUCCAUGCCGUAAACGGUGGGCGCUAGGUGUAGGGGGCUUCCACGUCUUCUGUGCCGUAGCUAACGCAUUAAGCGCCCCGCCCUGGGGAGUACGGCCGCAAGGCUAAAACUCAAAGGAAUUGACGGGGGCCCGCACAAGCGGCGGAGCAUGUGGAUUAAUUCGAUGCAACGCGAAGAACCUUACCUGGGCUUGACAUACACCAGAUCGCUGCAGAGAUGUAAUUUCCCUUGUGGUUGGUGUACAGGUGGUGCAUGGUUGUCGUCAGCUCGUGUCGUGAGAUGUUGGGUUAAGUCCCGCAACGAGCGCAACCCUUGUCUUAUGUUGCCAGCAUUUUAGUUGGGGACUCAUGAGAGACUGCCGGGGUUAACUCGGAGGAAGGUGGGGAUGACGUCAAAUCAUCAUGCCCCUUAUGUCCAGGGCUUCACACAUGCUACAAUGGUCGGUACAACGCGCAGCGGCACUGUGAGGUGGAGCGAAUCGCUGAAAGCCGGCCUUAGUUCGGAUUGGGGUCUGCAACUCGACCCCAUGAAGUCGGAGUCGCUAGUAAUCGCAGAUCAGCAAUGCUGCGGUGAAUACGUUCCCGGGCCC